GUUUUUGAACCCUACAAGAACUUCAACAAACAAGGCUGAAAAACACUAUUUCAGCACACCUUGCACUCCAAGAAAUCUUAUCAAGAGUGACUAACACUUACACCUAUUACAAGAACGAAUAAGGGAAAGAUUACACCUGAAAUUGUGUUGCAAGAACAUAAACUAGUUGUUCUAUUUGCUCCAAGACAGUACCAACACCUUCAUCCA
rnacentral:lncRNA from 1 species